ACACAGCGAACCGUUAACGAGAUACAAGUCUCGAAGUUUGUAUCGCACCGUUAAGCUUUUAUUGUAAUAUAAUUUUCAUAUCAUCUCAUUAAGUAUUACAUAUUAUACGAUCGAUGUUUAUUUCUCGAAGGAAAGGAGAAACUGGUGAUGACGGAUAAAGCGUGAAACGAGUAUCCUUGAAGAAUCCACGCAAAACGCACGAGUGGAUUUGAGAGAGACGAAGAGAGGCAAGAAAUGGUACCGGCGGGAGCGACGGCCAUAAAUCGAGGGAGACCGUCUUCUUAAAUACUGGAGUAUUUAAGAAGCCACAGAACAAAAAAGCAACCGAAAUAAAUAAAAUCUGACACUAGGAAGGCGUACCAUCACCAUCACAUUCACUAUCGUUGUGUCAUGAAUAAAGCCUCACUCGCUCCAACGAGAGAGACAAAAAUAAUGCACAGAAACCCCCAUCGGAACAGACCGAGAGGGUUGAACGAGGCUCGGAGCUUGUGUCGAAAAUCGAGCCGAAGAAACCGGUUCGCACCUCGAAACCUGAAGACUGAUCGGUACACAUGUACAGUUCUACUACGGAAGAAGAUAAUCGUGUUGUUUACGCUGGCAAUAACAAGCUCCGUCGUCGUCGUCGGGACCUCGCUCCUAUACGGCGGGGCCCUCGUUUCGAAACGGGGCCCCAUAAUUACGGGUGCUGGCUAAGAUUCUCCCGGUGCAAUCGGUACCCUGUUACGAAGUGUCCGAAAUAACCUCGUUUCUCAUUAGAUCAACGCGUGUGUGAAAAUUACAGCUAUCAGCGAGAUUAAUCGAACCAAUGUACGUAUUUUACGUGGAACCAUGUUAAUGGAAAAAUUACAUCGGUAAGGCUGAAGCACUCGCGAUUAAUAUUUCAUAAUAAUUCAUACAGAUAAUUAAUGGUAUACUUGGAAAGAAUGUUGCUCGUGCUGUCUUAGUGGAUAUUAAUUUUACUGGAGAUCAAUUUGAUUUAGAUAAAGUAAAUUUAACGUUUGAGUAAUAGAAAUAGAUUACCUACACACACAUAUUAACAUAUUAAUACAUAAUAAUAAAAUUAUAUAUAACUUUGUCAAAUGAUUUUAUUCAUUCCUAUAAUUUUUUCUUAAUUGCAUCAAGUAAAAUUGUAUCGUUUUAUAAUCGGACAUAUUCAAUCCGGCUAGGCAUUCAAUCAUGUAACAGGAGCCAGUUCGUGUGAAACUAUCAGGUAACUCAAUUGAAUCCAUUUACCUGCGGACAAAUCGAUUUUUUCAAAGUCGGUGGCUCAGAUUUCCAUUUGCUCGCCGGCGCAGUUUUGCCAGUUGGAAAACUGCAACUACACACAAAGGAAACCCGGGCUACGAGUUGCAAUUUCUCUUUCGCAAUUUCGAAAUUAUUAAUUUAACUGUUUCCCCUUUAACGCUACUGCGCCCGCGGCUAAUAUUUCCCCGGUAGAUAAAGAGCAGAGUGCGCGCAAUAGGAACUACCGAAUAAAGGAGACAAAAGCGCAAAAUGAAAAAAGAUGAAGAGACCGCGACACAGAGAUGGAGAGAAACAGUAAAAGCGGAGCACGACGAACGUACCCUUGGUUACCGUGUAAAUGAGGCGGUGAACAAAGUUCCGCGUGUAAACACCAAAUAAAGGUGGAUAACGCGGUUAGUUCCGGCCGCGCGGUUGCUCAUGAAAAUGCUGAACGACAGGCAACAGGAGUUAUAAGGGACGAAAGUGAUUCGCUUACAAAAUCCAUACGGUUGAAGGACUUUAAAUCCGACCCCCGCGUUAGUUUCAAAUGCGAUGCUGAUUUUAAUUUACAUUUCCACAGUUAAAUUCUUACUUUUUGCUCGAUGGCGUUUCUCGUGAAAUUUAACAUUUUCUGACGGCUUAAUUUUAGCAAGGGAACAACCAACUACCUCCCGCAACAUUACCUCCUUUUUUUCUAUAAUUUUAAUUAAAUUUCCGUGAAACGAUGUUAUAAAGCUUCGCGUAUUUAACAACAGCACGUAAUGACGUAUAUCUAAAUUGAGUGAGAACACCGGCCAUAACGCCAGAGUGACGAGUAUUAUUCAUAACUAACCGCAGCCGAAAAGUAUACGGCGAUGUGCGCGGCGUUAUAACUGAAUUUUCCAUUCCCCGAAGGGAUAACAGGUUCGGUACAUUCGAUUUUCACGGCGUACUGACCUGUCUCAAUGCUAUCUGGUCCCUUCACCAAUCAAAUUAGAGACGCUCGGUCGGACAGCCGAAUGAGAAUCCUUGGUCGUUUUGUUAUACAUAUUUUGUUUCGGCAGCGCGCAGUGUUGUGACAAGGGACAAUUGCAGCUUAAUUUAUCGUUACAUUAGCGCAAACGCACGCAUCACGAUCGCGAAUGAAGUAUUACACUCCAUCAUCAUUCAUCGUCGAUUACCAAAGCUUGCGGUUGUCGCCGCAAUCAAUAAACAUAUCACUGGAAACUUUUAUUCGUUAAAACAACCCAAUUUUCUCUCUAAAAAUUUUUUAUUAACCGCUCGAAGAUAUCAAUAAUUAGAGAGGAACAUUUUUUUAAUGUAAAAUCAUGAAAUAAACAAAAAAGUUACAUUGAACGCAGAUCUAGUGAUGAUUUGAAAUAUUGCUUUCUUACUCGCAGAGAAUUUCAUUAUUUCAAUUUUAACGAAAUCAACUGCACUGAGAAAAAAAUUCACUAAAUGGAAAUAAAUAUUUUUUUAAAUAGUACCAUGCAGAAGUUUUGUAAAAAAUAAAUAAUAUUUAUUUUAACAAAGAUAAUACUUUUUUAUAAUUUAGAAAAUGUUUAAUAUAUUAUCUUAUUUGAAAUAAAUAUUAUUUAUUUUUUUACAAAAAACUUCUGCGUGGUACUAUUUGAAAAGAUACUUAUUUCAAUUUGGUAAAUUUUUUUCUCCGUGUACGUAUCUUCGUAUGCGAACCGUUAGUUUCGUCCAACGUACGUUUGGAACGAAUAGAUUUCCCGAUUGACUGACUAACGCUGUAGAAAAGCGGACAGCGACCAGGGCAAGAGCCCAGACAAAAAGAUGACUCGCGGAUAACGGGCGAAGAACCGCGCUGGAAGAUAUAGAGCCCGAGCAAUCUCUUACGGUUGAGUUCGCACCACCCAGGGGGGGAGCCUCCCUCGAUCACUCCAAAUAAUCAUCGCGAGACACACGAGGCUCUCGCAUCAUCGCCUCCGUGAAAAUGAGAAAGUCGAGAGUAAAAAUCUGCGAGAGAGGGAGCUUAUGCUUUUGCACGUACACGCGCGCAUGCACGGAUCGCGAACGCGAACGAAAAAAAAAAAA